rnacentral:lncRNA from 1 species
GAGUGAGCAGUGGUUCUUGCCGCAACCGCCACGCAGCCUCGCUGCCGCCCAAGCGCGGACACCUGGUUCCUGGGUCCCCCGCGCGGAGCCCCGGACUCCUCGCCCCUUCUCCGAACAACUUUCUCCCUGCUUGAACUGAUUCUCGCUGUUGGUAGACUGCACAGUCACAGUAUCCAGCCGGACAGGACCUGCUUUGCCGGGACUGGAAACAACUACCGCGGCAAAAGAGGCCGUUUCGCCAUGGGAAGAACAAGAACUCCCGGCUUGUCCAGGGGCAGCCCCUCU